GACGAACGCUGGCGGCGCGCCUAACACAUGCAAGUCGAGUGGCGAACGGGUGAGUAACGCGUGAGGAACCUGCCUCAAAGAGGGGGACAACAGUUGGAAACGACUGCUAAUACCGCAUAAGCCCACGGGUCGGCAUCGACCAGAGGGAAAAGGAGCAAUCCGCUUUGAGAUGGCCUCGCGUCCGAUUAGCUAGUUGGUGAGGUAAUGGCCCACCAAGGCGACGAUCGGUAGCCGGACUGAGAGGUUGAACGGCCACAUUGGGACUGAGACACGGCCCAGACUCCUACGGGAGGCAGCAGUGGGGAAUAUUGCACAAUGGGGGAAACCCUGAUGCAGCGACGCCGCGUGGAGGAAGAAGGUCUUCGGAUUGUAAACUCCUGUUGUUGAGGAAGAUAAUGACGGUACUCAACAAGGAAGUGACGGCUAACUACGUG
rnacentral:rRNA from 1 species